GAUGAGCGCUAGCGGCAGGCCUAAUACAUGCAAGUCGAACGGUCCACUUCGGUGGAUAGUGGCGCACGGGUGCGUAACACGUAUGAAACCUACCUUACAUUGGGGGAUAGCCUUUCGAAAGGGAGAUUAAUACCGCAUAAGACAGUAACAUGGCAUCAUGAAGCUGUUAAAGAUUUAUCGACGUAAGCUGGGCAUGCGGCCAAGUAGUUAGUUGGUGAGGUAAAGGCUCACCAAGACGAGGAUUGGUAGGGGAACUGAGAGGUCAAUCCCCCACACUGGCACUGAGAUACGGGCCAGACUCCUACGGGAGGCAGAAGUAGGGAAUAUUGUGCAAUGGACGCAAGUCUGACCCAGCCAUGCCGCGUGCAGGAAGAAGGCGUUCUGCGUUGUAAACUGCUUUUAUAUAGGAAGAAACGACCCUUGCGAGGGGCAUUGACGGUAUUAUAUGAAUAAGCACCGGCUAACUCCGGGCCAGCCGCCGCAGUAAAAC
rnacentral:rRNA from 1 species